GCCCGGGUGAUGGAAUGGCGAGACAUGGGGGCCUUAAAAGCCCCUGCCCCGCUGGGGCGUGUGGGUUCGAGUCCCACCCCGGGCA
rnacentral:tRNA from 1 species